rnacentral:misc_RNA from 1 species
AGUGAGGAUUCCCUCUCAGAAACAGACAUGUACGCCCCUGACGAGGGGGUGCUGGACAGAAAAGAACCGACCUUCCGUGUACCCAAAAUCCGCAUCGAAUCUGUAGAAUCUGUGAAAUCUAACUUAUCGGACAAAAGUGUGCAAAAUUCAAAAUUCGUUGACACUCAUAUGAUGGUGAAUGGAAAAUCUGUGCACGUUGUCCAUGGCGCGCAGAGUUCUGUGGAUUCUGGAUUCGGUGAUUGUGACUCUAUGUACCAGAAAGACAUUGAAGUGACCCUCUAAUUGUACACCGUGUGAUUAGGCCCUAGCUGUCCGACCCAGACACAUUAUAACCACUGUUAUGUCACGCACUCAUAAUCCAUAUGACAGUCGUUAAUCCCUCGGCUCAGAGUAUUCUAGUUCACAAGCGACCGACACAAUCCUUUACAGUAUUAUAUUCUAAAAUGGGAGCAUGCGGUCACCUUGUCGACUAUUUGGAUGAAGAUUUGAGAACAAGUGCAGCAGUGAAAAAAAACUUGUCCGUUGUGAACUGAGAAUAUCUAAGCAAUGAGUGAUUCAUCAAUAUUCAUGAUGUCUGAACAGUAUUACCUAUUCUAGUCAAUUUCUCAUUCAUGCCAAAAGUGAAUUCUUAAUAAACCACGUAAUAAUAUG